ACGGAAGGCAGCAGUGGGGAAUAUUGCACAAUGGGGGAAACCCUGAUGCAGCGACGCCGCGUGAAGGAAGAAGUAUCUCGGUAUGUAAACUUCUAUCAGCAGGGAAGAAAAUGACGGUACCUGACUAAGAAGCCCCGGCUAACUACGUGCCAGCAGCCGCGGUAAUACGUCGGGGGCAAGCGUUAUCCGGAUUUACUGGGUGUAAAGGGAGCGUAGACGGAAUUGCAAGUCUGAUGUGAAAGGCAUGGGCUCAACCUGUGGACUGCAUUGGAAACUGUGAUUCUUGAGUGCCGGAGGGGUAAGCGGAAUUCCUGGUGUAGCGGUGAAAUGCGUAGAUAUCAGGAGGAACACCGGUGGCGAAGGCGGCUUACUGGACGGCAACUGACGUUGAGGCUCGAAGGCGUGGGGAGCAAACAGGAUUAGAUACCCUGGUA
rnacentral:rRNA from 1 species